CAUCUCUUAUUGAUAAAAAUAAUAAGUUGACUCUGCCCAAUGAUUAUUUAAAUGGCUGCAGUAUUUUAACUGUACAAAGGUAGCAUAAUCAAUUGAUUUUUAAUUGAAAUCUAGAAUGAAAGAGGUGAUGAAAUAUAUAUUUUAUUAAAAUAAUAUUUUUAAUUUUAAAUUAAAGUUAGAAUGCUUUAAUAAUUUUAUGGGACGAGAAGACCCUAUAGAAUUUUAUAUUAUUGAAUUAAUUAAAUUUAUAAAUAUUAAGUUAAUAAUAUUUAUUUGGGAGGAAUUUUAAAUAUAACUAACUUUAAAUUUUUAUUUACAUUUAUAAAUGAAUUUUAAAUGAUUUUAUAAAAUAAUUAUUAAAUUAAAUUACCUUAGGGAUAACAGUGUAAUAUUUUUUAAAAGUUCUUAUUUAAAAAAAUGUUU
rnacentral:rRNA from 1 species